rnacentral:lncRNA from 1 species
UCUAAAAGUUGGAUAAGAGCAGAAAAUGAUUUUCUCGGGGGUUGCGAAUUGGUCUUGCACGAAACAGAGUUGUAUUUCUCUAAUGAUAUUAGAUACUUGUAAUUAGGCCUUAGGCAUAGAUUAUCUCUGCUUAAACAUGAUCCGUAUCCUUAGAUCACAGCUCGUCCCUUCGGACAUAAGCUAUUCUAGGGCUUUAUCUCGUAAGUAAAAAAAAUAGCAAUAAGAGAUCAAAGCUAGAAAGCACCGGUCUUUCCUCGACAUACUCCAUAUCCGUAGAUCACGAUGCAUCUCCAAAAAGUACGAGGUAUGCAACUUUUCUUUCCUCGGCACGUCCUAUACCCAU